AUUGAACGCUAGCGGGAUGCCUUACACAUGCAAGUCGAACGGAGUGGCGAACGGGUGCGUAAUGUAUCGGAACGUGCCCAUUAGCGGGGGAUAACUACGCCGACGCGUAGCUAAUACCGCAUCCUCUUGGAGCGGCCGAUAUCGGAUUAGCUAGUUGGUGGGGUAACGGCUCACCAAGGCGACGAUCCGUAGCUGGUUUGAGAGGACGACCAGCCACACUGGGACUGAGACACGGCCCAGACUCCUACGGGAGGCAGCAGUGGGGAAUUUUGAACAAUGGGCGAAAGCCUGAUCCAGCCAUCCCGCGUGUGCGAUGAAGGCCUUCGGGUUGUAAAGCACUUUUGGCAGGAAGGCGGUACCUGCAGAAUAAGCACCGGCUAACUACGUGCCAGCAGCCGCGGUAAUAC
rnacentral:rRNA from 1 species